GAUGAACGCUGGCGGCGUGCCUAAUACAUGCAAGUCGAGCGAACAGAUGAGGAGCUUGCUCCUCUGACGUUAUCGGCGGACGGGUGAGUAACACGUGGUUAACCUACCUAUAAGACUUGGAUAACUUCGGGAAACCGGAUCUACUACCGGAUAAUAUAUUGAACCGCAUGGUUCACUAGUUAAAGACGGUUUUGCUGUCACUUAUAGAUUGAUCCGCGACCCAUUAGCUAGUUGGUAAGGUAACGGCUUACCAAGGCAACGAUGCGUAGCCGACCCGAGAGCGAGAUUGGCCACACUGGAACUGAGACUCGGCACAGACACCUGCGGUGGGAAGCAGUAGGGAAUCUUACGCGAUGGGGGAAAGCCGGACGGAGCAACGCCGCGUGAGUGAUGAAGGUCUUCGGAUCGUAAAACUCUGUUAUUAGGGAAGAACAAAAGUGUAAGUAACUAUGCACGUCUUGACGGUACCUAAUCAGAAAGCCACGGCUAACUACGUG
rnacentral:rRNA from 1 species